CACUGUUUCGUAGGUGACCUGCG
rnacentral:rRNA from 1 species